rnacentral:rRNA from 1 species
UUCGGUGACGAUUCGCCUAUGGGAAACACCCGUUCCCAUACCGAACACGAUGGUUAAGCCAUAGGCGGUUGACGAUACUUAGCUGGUAACGGCUCGGGAAAAUAAAUGGUUGCCGAGU